GGUUGACCUCGGAUCAGGUAGGGAUACCCGCUGAACUUAAGCAUAUCAAUAAGCGGAGGAAAAGAAACCAACAGGGAUUGCCUCAGUAACGGCGAGUGAAGCGGCAAGAGCUCAAAUUUGAAAUCUGGCCCCUCCGGGGUCCGAGUUGUAAUUUGUAGAGGAUGCUUCGGGUGCGGCCCCCGUCUAAGUGCUCUGGAACGGGCCAUCGGAGAGGGUGAGAAUCCCGUCUGGGACGGGGUGUCCGCGUCCAUGUGAAGCUCCUUCGACGAGUCGAGUUGUUUGGGAAUGCAGCUCUAAAUGGGUGGUAAAUUUCAUCUAAAGCUAAAUACUGGCCGGAGACCGAUAGCGCACAAGUAGAGUGAUCGAAAGAUGAAAAGCACUUUGAAAAGAGAGUUAAACAGCACGUGAAAUUGUUGAAAGGGAAGCGCUUGCGACCAGACUCGCUUCCGGGGUUCAGCCGGCUUUCGGGCCGGUGUACUUCCCCGGGGGCGGGCCAGCGUCGGUUUGGGCGGCCGGUCAAAGGCCCCUGGAAUGUAACGCCCCUCGGGGCGCCUUAUAGCCAGGGGUGUCAUGCGGCCAGCCUGGACCGAGGAACGCGCUUCGGCACGGACGCUGGCAUAAUGGUCGCAAACGACC
rnacentral:rRNA from 2 species